rfam:Haemonchus contortus, ISE/inbred ISE, WGS project CAVP01000000 data, contig: Hcontortus_31020
GUCUCGGUAGUGUAAGGGACAGAGCACGGUGCCCGGAAAGCACAAGUGCGGGUUCGAGUCCCGUCCGAGACU